rnacentral:rRNA from 1 species
CGUCUAUAUACGUAUAGCAUAUCAAUAAGCGGAGGAAAAGAAACUAACAAGGAUUCCCUUAGUAACGGCGAGUGAAGCGGGAAGAGCUCAAAUUUGAAAUCUUCAAGGUUUUACCUUGACGAAUUGUAGUUUAAAGAAGUGUUUUCUGUUGGAGUUUUGGUAAAAGUUCUUUGGAAUAGGACAUCAUAGAGGGUGAGAAUCCCGUAUUUGACCAUUAUUUCCAGCUUUGUGAUACACUUUCAAAGAGUCGGAUUGUUUGGGAAUGCAGUCCAAAAUGGGUGGUAAAUUUCAUCUAAAGCUAAAUAUUGGCGAGAGACCGAUAGCGAACAAGUACCGUGAGGGAAAGAUGAAAAGAACUUUGAAAAGAGAGUUAAACAGUACGUGAAAUUGUCAAAAGGGAAGCGUUUGACACCAGUGUUGUUUUCUCGAAAAUCAAUUCAUGAUGGCUUGAUGCUAGGUUGUUAAGACUUUAUCAGCUUACUGUCUAGUUUUCUUGUCUUUGUGAAUGCACUUUUCGUUUAACAAGUCAACAUCAAUUUCUUUUGCUGUAAAAGGGUCAGUAGGAAGGUGGCUUCAGCUUUCGGUAGAAGUGUUUAUAGCCUUUUACCUCUGCAGUCGGAGAGAUUGAGGUCUGCAGCGUAGAUUCUUCGGGGUUAGAUACAUUUGUGCUAAGUUAUAGCUUUUCAUAGACAACAUGUUGACUAUGAUUAGUCUGUAGCUUACUCGCUUAUGCUAUUUUACCUACGCUUAGGAUGUUGACACACGCGCGUGCUCG